AUUGAACGCUGGCGGCAGGCCUAACACAUGCAAGUCGAGCGGAGCGGCGGACGGGCGAGUAAUGCCUAGGAAUCUGCCUGGUAGUGGGGGAUAACGAACGGAAAGGGGCGCUAAUACAGAAUACUUUCAGAUGGACCUGGGCCGGAUUAGCUAGUUGGUGGGGUAAAGGACAACCCAGGCGACGAUCCGUAACUGGUCUGAGAGGAUGAACAGGCACACUGGAACUGAGACACGGUCCAGACUCCUACGGGAGGCAGCAGUGGGGAAUAUUGGACAAUGGGCGAAAGCCUGAUACAGCCAUGCCGCGUGUAUGAAGAAGGUCUUCGGAUUGUAAAGUACUUUCAGCGGGGAGGCGUUACCAGCAGAAGAAGCACCGGCUAACUCCGUGCCAGCAGCCGCGGUAAUAC
rnacentral:rRNA from 1 species